AUUGAACGCUGGCGGCAUGCCUUACACAUGCAAGUCGAACGGCAGCACGGGCUUCGGUCUGGUGGCGAGUGGCGAACGGGUGAGUAAUACAUCGGAACGUGCCUAGUAGUGGGGGGUAACUACUCGAAAGAGUAGCUAAUACCGCAUGAGAUCUACGGAUGAAAGCAGGGGACCUUCGGGCCUUGUGCUACUAGAGCGGCCGAUGGCAGAUUAGGUAGUUGGUGGGAUAAAAGCUUACCAAGCCGACGAUCUGUAGCUGGUCUGAGAGGACGACCAGCCACACUGGGACUGAGACACGGCCCAGACUCCUACGGGAGGCAGCAGUGGGGAAUUUUGGACAAUGGGCGAAAGCCUGAUCCAGCAAUGCCGCGUGCAGGAUGAAGGCCUUCGGGUUGUAAACUGCUCUUGUACGGAACGAAAAAGCUCCUUCUAAUACAGGGGGCCCAUGACGGUACCGUAAGAAUAAGCACCGGCUAACUACGUGCCAGCCGCCGCCGUAAAAC
rnacentral:rRNA from 1 species